AUUGAACGCUGGCGGCAGGCCUAACACAUGCAAGUCGAACGAGUGGCGGACGGGUGAGUAAUGUCUGGGAAACUGCCAGAUGGAGGGGGAUAACUACUGGAAACGGUAGCUAAUACCGCAUACCAUCGGAUGUGCCCAGAUGGGAUUCGCUAGUAGGUGGGGUAACGGCUCACCUAGGCGACGAUCCAUAGCUGGUCUGAGAGGAGGACCGGCCACACUGGAACUGAGACACGGCCCAGACUCCGACGGGAGGCAGCAGUGGGGAAUAUUGCACAAUGGGCGCAAGCCUGAUGCAGCCAUGCCGCGUGUAUGAAGAAGGCCUUCGGGUUGUAAAGUACUUUCAGUCGGGAGGCGUUACCCACAGAAGAAGCACCGGCUAACUCCGUGCCAGCAGCCGCGGUAAUAC
rnacentral:rRNA from 1 species